rnacentral:rRNA from 1 species
UACAGAGGUCCCAAGCGUUGUUCGGAUUCACUGGGCUUAAAGGGUGCGUAGGUGGCCAGGUAAGUUCGGUGUGAAAGCUCGGAGCUUAACUCCGAAAUGGCAUUGAAUACUAUCUGGCUAGAGGGUCGGAGGGGAGACUGGAAUUCUCGGUGUAGCGGUGAAAUGCGUAGAUAUCGAGAGGAACACCAGUGGCGAAGGCGAGUCUCUGGACGACUCCUGACACUGAGGCACGAAAGCCAGGGGAGCAAACAGG